rnacentral:rRNA from 1 species
AUUGAACGCUGGCGGCAGGCCUAACACAUGCAAGUCGAACGAGUGGCGGACGGGUGAGUAAUGUCUGGGAAACUGCCUGAUGGAGGGGGAUAACUACUGGAAACGGUAGCUAAUACCGCAUACCAUCAAAUGUGCCCAGAUGGGAUUAGCUAGUUGGGGGGGUAACGGCGCACCAAGGCGACGAUCCCUAGCUGGUCGGAGAGGAUGACCAGCCACCAUGGAAUGGAGACACGGUACAGACUCCUACGGGAGGCAGCAGUGGGGAAUAUUGCACAAUGGGCGCAAGCCUGAUGAAGCCAUGCCGCGUGUAUGAAGAAGGCCUUCGGGUUGUAAAGUACUUUCAGCGGGGAGGCGUUACCCGCAGAAGAAGCACCGGCUAACUCCGUGCCAGCCGCCGCGGUAAUUC